AGACGGGGGGGGCUAGCGUUGUUCGGAAUUACUGGGCGUAAAGGGCGCGCAGGCGGCUUGGGAAGUCUUGGGUGAAAGCCCCCAGCUCAACUGGGGAAUGGCCUGAGAAACCACUAGGCUGGAGUGCUGGAGAGGGAAGCGGAAUUCCCGGUGGAGCGGUGAAAUGCGUAGAUAUCGGGAGGAACACCAGAGGCGAAGGCGGCUUCCUGGACAGACACUGACGCUGAGGCGCGAAAGCUAGGGGAGCAAACGGGAUUAGAAACCCCAGUAGUCC
rnacentral:rRNA from 1 species